rnacentral:tRNA from 1 species
GCACUGGUGGUUCAGCGGUAGCAUUCUCACCUUCCAUGUGGGAGAUCCAGGUUCAAUUCCCGGCCAGCGUA